UCCUGAGUUCUGUUCCAAAUCAGGAAACCCUGCAGCUAUCACCACAUCCUAACCAGGGGUAGCUCCAGAGCUCCCAAAGAGCCAAUUAGUUACUGCAGCAGAGUUAAGGCAAAUCAAUAGGAUGCACGCCAAACUAGGGUGCAUGCCAUUUUGGCAGAGGAGUAAAAUAGGGAACGAAGAGUGCCUUCAAGUCAGCCCUAUCUCCCAGGCAGAUAACAACUCAGCCACACCCUCCUCCUAGGCUAAACACACCUCCCCCAGCUGAUUGGUCAGUACACUCUAGCAUUACUUUCAAUGAAGCUGCCACAUAUGGAGUGUGUGAUGUCAUCUGCUCCUCCCUUUGGUGCUGUGCUGUGUGAUCUGCUCCUCCUGUAUCAUGGCUGCUGAAGUCUGGAGGGAAAGUGAUUUAAAAAGAGAGAAGAUUCCUGCUGAGAAGCAGAAUUUCACUGAGAAGUUUUAUGUAGGAGACUGCACAGAACAGGUGGUAAUGUGGGUGCACGGAUUUGUGAUUAUUGGUGAAGCAUGGCACCAGUGAAAAGAAAAUAUGCCACUAGGAAGGCUUCAAAAAAGACAAGGCUUUGAAACAACUCUCUUCUAUCAAAGAAGAAAUUAAGGCAGAAUCAGAGAUGUUCAACACUGCAACACAUGGAAUGGGCUUUGCUGUCAUAGAUAUUGUUGCAGCAAUAUUUGACAAAGCACUCUCGUUAAAGGAUAACUAAGCCUAACUAAAGAAGUAGGCAGAAAUGUUGUACAUUAUGUUUUGUGCUUCUGUACCAGCCCAAGGCAACCA